GACGAACGCUGGCGGCGUGCUUAACACAUGCAAGUCGAACGGAAAGGCCCUGCUUUUGUGGGGUGCUCGAGUGGCGAACGGGUGAGUAACACGUGAGUAACCUGCCCUUGACUUUGGGAUAACUUCAGGAAACUGGGGCUAAUACCGGAUAGGAGCUCCUGCUGCAUGGUGGGGGUUGGAAAGUUUCGGCGGUUGGGGAUGGACUCGCGGCUUAUCAGCUUGUUGGUGGGGUAGUGGCUUACCAAGGCUUUGACGGGUAGCCGGCCUGAGAGGGUGACCGGCAACAUUGGGAAUGAGAUACGGCCGAGACUCCUACGGGAGGCAGCAGGGGGGAAGAUUGAACAAUGGGCGGAAGCCUGAUGCAGCAACGCCGCGUGCGGGAUGACGGCCUUCGGGUUGUAAACCGCUUUCGCCUGUGACGAAGCGUGAGUGACGGUAAUGGGUAAAGGAGCACCGGCUAACUACGUG
rnacentral:rRNA from 1 species